AGAGUGAACGCUGGCGGCAGGCCUAACACAUGCAAGUCGAACGGCAGCACAGAGGAGCUUGCUCCUUGGGUGGCGAGUGGCGGACGGGUGAGGAAUACAUCGGAAUCUGCCUUAUCGUGGGGGAUAACGUAGGGAAACUUACGCUAAUACCGCAUACGACCUACGGGUGAAAGCGGAGGACCUUCGGGCUUCGCGCGAUAAGAUGAGCCGAUGUCGGAUUAGCUAGUUGGCGGGUAAAGGCCCACCAAGGCUACGAUCCGUAGCUGGUCUGAGAGGAUGAUCAGCCACACUGGAACUGAGACACGGUCCAGACU
rnacentral:rRNA from 1 species